rnacentral:rRNA from 1 species
UACGAGAGGCCCAAACGUUAUUCGGAAUUACUGGGCUUAAAGAGUUCGUAGGCGGCAUGAAAAGUAGGGUGUGAAAGCCCUCGGCUCAACCGAGGAAUUGCGCUCUAAACUGUCGUGCUAGAGGAACCUAGAGGUGAGCAGAACUGAUGGUGGAGCGGUGAAAUGCGUUGAUAUCAUCAGGAAUACCGGAGGCGAAGGCAGCCCCCUGGGCUAACGACUGACGCUCAGGCACGAAAAGCGUGGGGAGCAAACAGGG